CACCGCGGUUAUACGAGAGGCUCAAGUUGACAGACAACGGCGUAAAGCGUGGUUAGGAUAACUUUUUUGACUAAAGCGGAACCUCCUCAUAGCUGUUAUACGCUUUCGAGGAAGUGAACCCCAACUACGAAAGUGGCUUUAUUCAACCUGAACCCACGAAAGCUAAGAAA
rnacentral:rRNA from 2 species